rnacentral:rRNA from 1 species
UUAUUUGAGAGUUUGAUCCUGGCUCAGGAUGAACGCUGGCGGCGUGCCUAACACAUGCAAGUUGAGCGAUUUACUUCGGUAAAGAGCGGCGGACGGGUGAGUAACGCGUGGGUAACCUACCCUGUACACACGGAUAACAUACCGAAAGGUAUGCUAAUACGGGAUAAUAUAUUUGAGAGGCAUCUCUUGAAUAUCAAAGGUGAGCCAGUACAGGAUGG